CUCCUACGGGAGGCAGCAGUAAGGAAUAUUGGUCAAUGGAGGCAACUCUGAACCAGCCAUGCCGCGUGCAGGAAGACGGCCCUACGGGUUGUAAACUGCUUUUGUACUGGAAUAAACCUUGAUACGUGUAUCAAGCUGAAUGUACAGUAAGAAUAAGGAUCGGCUAACUCCGUGCCAGCAGCCGCGGUAAUAC
rnacentral:rRNA from 1 species